rnacentral:rRNA from 1 species
AUGCAAGUCGAACGGCAGCACGGGUGCUUGCACCUGGUGGCGAGUGGCGAACGGGUGAGUAAUACAUCGGAACAUGUCCUGUAGUGGGGGAUAGCCCGGCGAAAGCCGGAUUAAUACCGCAUACGAUCUACGGAUGAAAGCGGGGGACCUUCGGGCCUCGCGCUAUAGGGUUGGCCGAUGGCUGAUUAGCUAGUUGGUGGGGUAAAGGCCUACCAAGGCGACGAUCAGUAGCUGGUCUGAGAGGACGACCAGCCACACUGGGACUGAGACACGGCCCAGACUCCUACGGGAGGCAGCAGUGGGGAAUUUUGGACAAUGGGCGAAAGCCUGAUCCAGCAAUGCCGCGUGUGUGAAGAAGGCCUUCGGGUUGUAAAGCACUUUUGUCCGGAAAGAAAUCCUUGGUUCUAAUAUAACCGGGGGAUGACGGUACCGGAAGAAUAAGCACCGGCUAACUACGUGCCAGCAGCCGCGGUAAUACGUAGGGUGCGAGCGUUAAUCGGAAUUACUGGGCGUAAAGCGUGCGCAGGCGGUUUGUUAAGACCGAUGUGAAAUCCCCGGGCUCAACCUGGGAACUGCAUUGGUGACUGGCAAGCUAGAGUAUGGCAGAGGGGGGUAGAAUACCACGUGUAACAUUGAAAUGCG